rnacentral:rRNA from 1 species
GUCUAUAGCCAUGUCACCCUGAACUUGCUCUAUCUGGUCUGAUCUUGGAAGCUAAGCAGGGUCAGUCUGGGUUAAUACCUGGAUGGGAGGCCAUCUAGGAAUAUUGAGUGCUGUAGGUG